rnacentral:rRNA from 1 species
CCUACGGGGGGCAGCAGUGAGGAAUAUUGGUCAAUGGGCGCAAGCCUGAACCAGCCAAGUCGCGUGAGGGAUGACGGUCCUAUGGAUUGUAAACCUCUUUUGUCGGGGAGCAAGGCCCGCCACGUGUGGCGGGAAGGAGAGUACCCGAAGAAAAAGCAUUGGCUAACUCCGUGCCAGCAGCCGCGGUAAUACGGAGGAUGCGAGCGUUAUCCGGAUUUAUUGGGUUUAAAGGGUGCGUAGGCGGAAGGUUAAGUCAGCGGUAAAAUGUUGGUGCUCAACACCGGCCUGCCGUUGAAACUGGUCUUCUUGAGUGAGCGAGAAGUAUGCGGAAUGCGUGGUGUAGCGGUGAAAUGCAUAGAUAUCACGCAGAACUCCGAUUGCGAAGGCAGCAUACCGGCGCUCAACUGACGCUGAGGCACGAAAGCGUGGGGAUCGAACAGGAUUAGAUACCCUUGUAGUC